rnacentral:rRNA from 1 species
UUAGAAUAAAUUUAGUAGUAUUAUUUAAAAAAACUUUAAAAUACUGGCAGCAUAAACUAAUUAGAGUAACCUGUCUAGUAAUAGAUAAUUCACUAUAAACUCUCACUUAAUUUAAAAACCUAUAUAUCUCCAUCUUAGAUUAUAUUUAAAUAUAUAAUCAUAAUAAAAAUAUAACAACUUAGGUAAGAUAUAGUCAAUAAAUAAGAAUAGAUGUGUCUCUAUAAGAAUUACUUAUGAAUAAUAUUUUAAAAUAUAUUUAAAACAGAAUUUAAAAGUAAUUUUAAACUAAUAAUUUAAAUUGAAUUUUAAUAAAUAUGUGC